rnacentral:rRNA from 1 species
AUUGAACGCUGGCGGCAGGCCUAACACAUGCAAGUCGAACGAGUGGCGGACGGGUGAGUAAUGUCUGGGAAACUGCCUGAUGGAGGGGGAUAACUACUGGAAACGGUAGCUAAUACCGCAUACCAUCAGAUGUGCCCAGAUGGGCUUGGUUAGUUGGUGGGGUAACGGCUCACCAAGGCGACGAUCCCUACCUGGGCUGAGAGGAUGACCGGCCACACGGGAACUGAGCCACGGACCAGACUCCUACGGGAGGCAGCAGUGGGGAAUAGUGGACAAUGGGCGCAAGCCUGAUGCAGCCAUGCCGCGUUUAUGAAGAAGGCCUUCGGGUUGUAAAGUACUUUCAGCGGGGAGGCGUUACCCGCAGAAGAAGCACCGGCUAACUCCGUGCCAGCAGCCGCGGUAAUUC